AUGUGCAGCCGUUAAACUAGAAAUCCCUCUCUCUGCUCGUUUGACGCUGAAAAAUAUAACCUUAUAAACAACAAACCCUGAAAAUGACCUUAUAAACCAUGAACAAGAAAAAAAGACAGCUCUUCCCUUUUGCACAGAACUCCAAUGGUGUAUUAAAUUUCCAGCAACACACACUCACUUGGGUGGCACCUCACUCUGGAUAUGCCUUUUCCCAACUGCUUGUCUGAUGCGUACUGUCUGUUUCUUUCUCGGUGAUGAAGAAACUCCAUGAGUUCUGAUCACUUGUUGGAGGUGAGGAUGGAGGAUAUAGUGGAGAUGGAGAGCCCUUCAAAACAAACUGAUCUGCCUUAGUGAUACGAUAAAGGCUUGAUGUACCAUAGUUUUAACAAAGAGUUGAUUUAUACUAUUUUGAUCCCAAAUAAAUAACGGGACUGCAUUCAUCAGUAACAGACAUCAGAAAACAUGGUUUGGAGUUGGACGUCAAUAGAAUCAAAAUCCAACCCCUACAGUUAAUUGGGAAGUCAUUAACAGAAAUCCUUGUGUGUGAAAAAGGCAAACACUUUUCACACACUGUGCCAGUGAACAGGCUGUCCACAGUGUGAAAUUGUUCAUGUACAGGGACAUUACGAUAAUUAAUAUACUUUAUUGAGAAUGGUUUAAUAAUACCAGUUCAAGUGGGCGAAUGACCAUGGAUCAUUCCUUGUUGUGAAUAAGAGCAAAAACCUUCAGCUGUGUUUUGUUUUGUAAAUUCACUGGUAUGUGAACAGGGUGAAAUAUCAAGAGAACUCUGUCCCAUACACAGAGCAUAACAACGGUUUCUCCCCAGUCUCAGCAGGUUGGAUACCGAGUGAAUCCCCCCUAACACUGGGAGCAGUUGAAUGGUUUCAGUGCAAUGUGUAUCCGCUGACAGUUUAAGUGACCGAGAGAAUGCGUUCCCACAUUCAGAACAGGGGAAUGUUUUUCUCUCCAGUGUGAACUCGCUGGUAUUCUAGCAGGUAGUAAGAAUCUGCAAAGCUUUUUCCACACUCAGCACUGGUGAAUGGUCUGUUUCCACUGUGAACUCGCUGGUGUCUCAGUAGGUUGUAUGACUGAGUGAAUCCCUUCCCACACUUCAGAGCAAGUGACUGGCUUCUCCCCACAGUGACUGCGUUGGUGCCAUCUCUAGCAGGGCUUAGAAAACAAAUCUCUUCACCAAGUGAGCACAUUUCCAGUCUCUCCCCAGUGUCACUGCACUGGCGUUUUGACAUUUCAGAUGAAUGUUUGUAGACUUCCAUGUUCAAAAUCCUGUGCUAAUUAUGUUAUGAUGACAGAACGACUGUCAGAUCUAAUUGUGACUUGGUUUGAAUUCUCUAAUAGCAAAUCAAGCAUUCCAAGGUCAAAAAAAAAAAUCGUGAGAGAGAAACCAGAAUACACACGUCGUGUCAAUGCACUUGACAAAUGUUCAAUUCAAUACAACGUAAACAUGAGACGUGCAGCAGUUACACUCCUGGCUUUCUCCAAUUAGUAUGAAUAAUGUACAAGAUUAAAACAUCUACAUGCUCCCUAGACACUGGCAAGAUGUAUAAAAGUUAAUCUGGCAGUGACAGUUAUCCUUUCUCGAGGAAAGUGUGGUCUCUCCAGAUGUAUGACGCACUACGUGAUGUCCAUGGCAGUGACGGAUCUCCUCGUUAUGAUCACAGCUGUGGUUUUAAACCGAAUUGUGGGUACUUACUUCCCAUUCAGCGUUCUAUCCAUCACUCCAGUCUUUACUAUCAAUCUGGUGUUACUGUAUGGCAUCAAAGAUUCUGCUGUCUGGGUAACAGUCACUUUCACCUUUGAUCGCUUUGUAGCCAUCCGUUGCCGAAAGCUGAAGAUGAAAUAUUGCACAGAGAAAACGGCAUCCAUGAUUAUAGGAACUGUCUGUACAGUGAACUGCGUUAAAAAUAUCCCUUUGUACUUUACUUGCGAGCCUUACAUUACAAUAAACAACAUGCCCUAUUAUUGCAAGUCAAAGUCAACAUUUUAUACAUCUCCUGAAUGGAUCACAGUUAACUGUAUAAAUGUUGUCAUAACCCCUUGUCUACCAUUCAUCUUUAUUUUGUUGCUAAAUGUUCUGACGGCCAGACACAUUCAAGCAGCCAGUAGGGCCCGCAAAAGACUCUGGACCCCGAGCAAUGGAGACAAUGAAAAUGAUCCCGAGAUGGAGAAAAGAAGGAGGUCUAUCAUUUUACUUUUCUCUGUCUCAGGCAGCUUCAUCCUGUUAUAUUUGAUUGAGGUUAUAAAUUUCUUCUAUGUCUGAAUUGUGGGCCUCAUUUAUUUAGAGCGCUCUGACUUCUAUCAAGCAAAUUUUAUUCUGGAGGAGGGUGGGUUUAUGCUUCAGCUAUUGUGCUCGUGCAUCAAUCCAUUUACUUAUGCAGAAACUCAGAGCAAAUUCCAAGAUGAGUUAAAGAAUGUAUUGAAAUAUCCAGUGAUUUUAAUUCAAGUGAUGACAAUUGUAAAAUUGGAUAUGGCUUCAACUCUACUGAUUGUAUUUCUGGCUCAUGUCACCUUUUGUCAUUCAGAAGCAUAGUCAGAAGCAUAUACAGAAUCUUCCCAACUGUGUGAAUUAAAGAAUAUACAAGUAGUUGCCUGGUCUCAGUUAGUGCUUAGUUCUCUUCACUGGGCCAUCUCAAACAACACUGAGAUAUCUUGGAAUACGUUGACAAUUAAGCAGGUGAUGGAGAGUUGAUCUCAUCAGUUGAUAGAUUGCAAAUGUGCACUGGUUAUUUGAGGAAUCAAUUAUCCUUCCUGCAUUUUGAAAAUAGAAUGCGAGCUAAAGGGUGAACAAAUAUUCUCCUCAUACAAUUUUCUUCACAAAAUUCACACCAGACGACAGCGACUAUAGAA